AGAGCGAACGCUGGCGGCAGGCCUAAUACAUGCAAGUCGAACGGAUCCUUCGGGAUUAGUGGCGGACGGGUGAGUAACACGUGGGAACGUACCCUUUGGUUCGGAACAACUCAGGGAAACUUGAGCUAAUACCGAAUGUGCCCUUCGGGGAAAAGAUUUAUCGCCAUUGGAGCGGCCCGCGUCUGAUUAGCUAGUUGGUAGGGUAAAGGCCUACCAAGGCUACGAUCAGUAGCUGGUCUGAGAGGAUGAUCAGCCACACUGGGACUGAGACACGGCCCAGACUCCUACGGGAGGCAGCAGUAGGGAAUCUUGCGCAAUGGGCGAAAGCCUGACGCAGCCAUGCCGCGUGAAUGAUGAAGGUCUUAGGAUUGUAAAAUUCUUUCAGCGGGGACGAUAAUGACGGUACCCGCAGAAGAACGCCCGGCUAACUUCGCGCCAGCAGCCGC
rnacentral:rRNA from 1 species